GACGAACGCUGGCGGCGUGCCUAAUACAUGCAAGUCGAGCGAAGUUUUUCUGGUGCUUGCACCGGAAAAACUUAGCGGCGAACGGGUGAGUAACACGUAAAGAACCUGCCUCAUAGACUGGGACAACUAUUGGAAACGAUAGCUAAUACCGGAUAAUAGCAUUAACUGCAUGGUUGAUGUUUAAAAGUUGGUUUUGCUAACACUAUGAGAUGGCUUUGCGGUGCAUUAGCUAGUUGGUGGGGUAAAGGCCUACCAAGGCGACGAGGCAUAGCCGACCGGAGAGGGGGAUCGGCCACAUUGGAACUGGGCCACGGCCAAGACUCCUGAGGGAGGCAGCAGUAGGGAAUCUUCCGCAAUGGGCGAAAGCCUGACGGAGCAACGCCGCGUGAGUGAAGAAGGAUUUCGGUUCGUAAAGCUCUGUUGUUAGGGAAGAAUGAUUGUGUAGUAACUAUACACAGUAGAGACGGUACCUAACCAGAAAGCCACGGCUAACUACGUG
rnacentral:rRNA from 1 species